GCUCGGGUGGCGAAACUGGUAGACGCGAGGGACUUAAAAUCCCUUGGGAGCGAUCCCAUGUCGGUUCGAAACCGGCCCCGAGCA
rnacentral:tRNA from 1 species